CAGCAGCCGCGGUAAUACAGAGGGUGCGAGCGUUAAUCGGAUUUACUGGGCGUAAAGCGUGCGUAGGCGGCUUUUUAAGUCGGAUGUGAAAUCCCUGAGCUUAACUUAGGAAUUGCAUUCGAUACUGGGAAGCUAGAGUAUGGGAGAGGAUGGUAGAAUUCCAGGUGUAGCGGUGAAAUGCGUAGAGAUCUGGAGGAGUACCGAUGGCGAAGGCAGCCAUCUGGCCUAAUACUGACGCUGAGGUACGAAAGCAUGGGGAGCAAACAGGAUUAGAUACCCCAGUAGUCCCUGUCUCUUAUAC
rnacentral:rRNA from 1 species